rnacentral:rRNA from 1 species
GACGAACGCUGGCGGCGUGCUUAACACAGGCAAGUCGAACGGAAAGGCCCUGCGUUUGUGGGGUGCUCGAGGGGCGAACGGGUGAGGAACACUUGAGUAACCUGCCCUUGACUUUGGGAUAACUUCAGGAAACUGGGGCUAAUACCGGAUAGGAGCUCCUGCUGCAUGGUGGGGGUUGGAAAGUUUCGGCGGUUGGGGAUGGACUCGCGGCUUAUCAGCGUGUUGGUGGGGUAGUGGCUUACCAAGGCUUUGACGGGUAGCCGGCCUGAGAGGGUGACCGGCCACAUUGGGACUGAGAUACGGCCCAGACUCCUACGGGCGGCAGCAGUGGGGAAUAUUGCACAAUGGGCGGAAGCCUGAUGCAGCAACGCCGCGUGCGGGAUGACGGCCUUCGGGUUGUAAACCGAUUUCGCCUGUGACGAAGCGUGAGUGACGGUAAUGGGUAAAGAAGCACCGGCUAACUACGUG